UACGAAGGGGGCUAGCGUUGCUCGGAAUCACUGGGCGUAAAGGGUGCGUAGGCGGGUCUUUAAGUCAGGGGUGAAAUCCUGGAGCUCAACUCCAGAACUGCCUUUGAUACUGAGGAUCUUGAGUUCGGGAGAGGUGAGUGGAACUGCGAGUGUAGAGGUGAAAUUCGUAGAUAUUCGCAAGAACACCAGUGGCGAAGGCGGCUCACUGGCCCGAUACUGACGCUGAGACGCGAAAGCGUGGGGAG
rnacentral:rRNA from 1 species